CCUACGGGGGGCAGCAGUGAGGAAUAUUGGUCAAUGGUCGCAAGCCUGAACCAGCCAAGUAGCGUGAAGGAUGACUGCCCUACGGGUUGUAAACUGCUUUUAUGCGGGGAUAAAGUGCGUCACGUGUGCCUUUUUGUAUGUACUUUAUGAAUAAGGAUCGGCUAACUCCGUGCCAGCAGCCGCGGUAAUACGGAGGGUCCGGGCGUUAUCCGGAUUUAUUGGGUUUAAAGGGAGCGUAGGUGGGUUGUUAAGUGAGUUGUGAAAGUUUGCGGCUCAACCGUAAAAUUGCGACUGAUACUGGCAGGCUUGAGUACAGUUGACGUAUGCGGAAUUCGUGGUGUAGCGGUGAAAUGCUUAGAUAUCACGAAGAACUCCGAUUGCGAAGGCAGCAUACUAAAGCGCUACUGACACUGAUGCUCGAAAGUGUGGGUAUCAAACAGGAUUAGAUACCCCAGUAGUC
rnacentral:rRNA from 1 species